UACGAGGGGGCAAGCGUUGUUCGGAAUUAUUGGGCGUAAAGGGCUCGUAGGCGGCCAACUAAGUCGGAUGUGAAAUCCCCAGGCUUAACCUGGGAACUGCAUCCGAUACUGGAUGGCUUGAAUCCGGGAGAGGGAUGCGGAAUUCCAGGUGUAGCGGUGAAAUGCGUAGAUAUCUGGAGGAACACCGGUGGCGAAGGCGGCAUCCUGGACCGGCAUUGACGCUGAGGAGCGAAAGCCAGGGAGCAAACGGG
rnacentral:rRNA from 1 species